rnacentral:rRNA from 1 species
UACGUAGGUGGCAAGCGUUGUCCGGAAUUACUGGGCGUAAAGCGCGUGUAGGCGGCGCUGUAAGUCAGAUGUGAAAUCCCUUGGCUCAACCAAGGAAGUGCAUCUGAUACUGCGGUGCUGGAGUGUCGGAGGGGAUGGCGGAAUUCCCGGUGUAGAGGUGAAAUUCGUAGAUAUCGGGAGGAACACCUGUGGCGAAGGCGGCCAUCUGGACGACUACUGACGCUGAGACGCGAAAGCGUGGGGAGCAAACAGG